rnacentral:rRNA from 1 species
AUGAUUUGGGAGGAUGAGGUUGCUUUAGUCUUGACCACGACGUGCUCUCUGGUAGCGCUGUCGCGGCCAGUCGGCCACUCGCUCUCCAAAUCCUGCAGUUGUGCAUGGGUCCGAUGGACAGGCAUGGCGGCUCAGACCUGCGGGCUCCAUGAUCACCAUGGCGCUGCUUCCUGGCCUUGCCGCUGGCAGUCACCGAACCCUCACCGGAUUGUCGACCCCACAACUAACCAUCACCCUCAUCUCAUUAGUUGGCUUCCCUCUACUGGAUCUAAAUUUUUUUGGUUGGUUUGCAAAGUGCAGAUGUGUGACCUCCUCUAUGAUGAAGGCAUCGAGGAGAUUAACUUUUGCUUCUCAAGCUUUGAUUUAGUUGAGAUGUUUAAGCAAUAUUGGUCACUUCCAAGUAAAUUUUAUGAUGAUGUGAUAUAUGUCUACUAA